rnacentral:misc_RNA from 1 species
CACCACUCAAGCCUCGCUUGGUAUUGGGCGACGCGGUCCGCCGCGCGCCUCAAAUCGACCGGCUGGGUCUUCCGUCCCCUCAGCGUUGUGGAAACUAUUCGCUAAAGGGUGCCGCGGGAGGUCACGCCGCAAAACAACCCCAUUUCUAAGG